UACGUAGGCAGCAAGCGUUGUUCGGAAUUACUGGGCGUAAAGAGUGUGUAGGCGGUGUUCUAAGUUUGUCGUGAAAUCUCCCGGCUUAACUGGGAGGGUGCGGCGAAAACUGGAAUGCUAGAGGAUGGGAGAGGUAAGCGGAAUUCCUGGUGUAGCGGUGAAAUGCGCAGAUAUCAGGAAGAACACCCGUGGCGAAGGCGGCUCUCUGGGACGGUACUGACGCUGAGACGCGAAAGCGUGGGGAGCGAACAGG
rnacentral:rRNA from 1 species